AACGAACGCUGGCGGCAUGCCUAACACAUGCAAGUCGAACGAAGCCUUCGGGCUCAGUGGCGCCCGGGUGCGUAACGCGUGGGAAUCUGCCCCUUGCGUCGGCAUAACUGUUAGAAAUGACUGCUAAUACCGGAUGAAGUCUUCGGACCAAAGAUUUAUCGGCAAGGGAUGAGCCCGCGUAGGAUUAGGUAGUUGGUGGGGUAAAGGCCUACCAAGCCGACGAUCCUUAGCUGGUCUGAGAGGAUGAUCAGCCACACUGGGAGUGAGACACGGCCCAGACUCCUACGGGAGGCAGCAGUGGGGAAUGUUGGACAAUGGACGCAAGUCUGAUCCAGCAAGGCCGCGUGAGUGAUGAAGGCCUUAGGGUUGUAAAGCUCUUUUACCAGGGAUGAUAAUGACAGUACCUGGAGAAUAAGCGCCGGCUAACUCCGUG
rnacentral:rRNA from 1 species